rnacentral:lncRNA from 1 species
AGAAACUAGAGUGCAUAGGGCUGUGAGAAGUUCUAAGGCAUUUGUGUAUUGCACCGGAGACUGAAAGAAGGUGUUGCCACCUUUAAAUGGCCCCUUACUCUCAUAAUCAGUGCUGAGUAGUGGCAAGGGGGAGAAAAUGGAAAAGUUGGCAUGGGAGAGAAGGCAGAUCCAGAAGAUAGGAUACAGCUCAGCCCUGAGAAUGUGGCCUGAUUUUCUCUUCUGUUAUUACAACUGCUCUUCUGCUUGAGUUUCUUCUACACCUUCAAGAUGGCUGAAGAACAAGACGCUUUCUCUCCAUGUCUAUGCUGUUUCACUAUGCUGCAAAUAUUCCCAGCCUUUUCCCCUUGAUGCCCAAAAUAAAUUCCUCAAAUACCCUGAG